rnacentral:rRNA from 1 species
UANAGUUUGAUCCUGGCUCAGGAUNAACGCUGGCGGCGUGCCUAAUACAUGCAAGUCGAGCGAACUGACGAGGAGCUUGCUCCUUUGACGUUAGCGGCGGACGGGUGAGUAACACGUGGGUAACCUACCUAUAAGACUGGAAUAACUCCGGGAAACCGGGGCUAAUGCCGGAUAACAUAUCGAACCGCAUGGUUCGAUAGUGAAAGACGGUCUUGCUGUCACUUAUAGAUGGACCCGCGCCGUAUUAGCUAGUUGGUGAGGUAACGGCUCACCAAGGCAACGAUACGUAGCCGACCUGAGAGGGUGAUCGGCCACACUGGAACUGAGACACGGUCCAGACUCCUACGGGAGGCAGCAGUAGGGAAUCUUCCGCAAUGGGCGAAAGCCUGACGGAGCAACGCCGCGUGAGUGAUGAAGGUACUUCGGAUCGUAAAGCUACUGUUGUUAGGGAAGAACAAAUGUGUAAGUAUACUAUGCACUCCUUGUACGGUACCUAACCAGAAAGGCCACGGCCUAACANACGU